rnacentral:rRNA from 1 species
AUGAACCGUCUGCGGGCGGCAGCGCAGCGGGAGCAGCACGGGCUUCACCUCCCCGGGCCAUGUCUCCCCCUUCCACCAUCGCUCCUCCUCCACCUCCUUCACGGCCUCCCUCCCGGGCACCGCCCGAGCAGCCUCGACAGGGACGACCUGGAUCCGGACCCGGCCGCGGCCACCACGGAGGCUCUCGCCAAGGUCGACCUCUCCGACGAUCCGGACGCCACCGCCACCGCCACCGCCAAGUCCGCGGCUCCAGCAAGCCCCGUCAGGCAGCCAGAGGCGGCGGCUGCGACGUGGGUGAUCGCAAUCAACAAGGAGUUCCCGGGCCCCGUCGUCAACGUCACCACAAACUACAAUGUCGCCGUCAACGUCCUCAACAGCCUCGACGAGCCGCUCCUCAUCACCUGGGACGGCAUCCAGCAGCGGAAGAACUGCUGGCAGGACGGCGUGCUGGGCACCAACUGCCCCAUCCCGCCCGGAUGGAACUGGACCUACAACUUCCAGGUCAUGGACGACGCGUGCAAGUCGCUCGACUAUCCAGAAGACCAGACCUGUGCUUUCAGUUCAGUUUCGUCAGAUAUAUCUGCUGCCAUGCUCUUCUAUUUGUAUUCAGUUUGGUCAGGCUUGUGGUUCCUGGACGGCCUUGGCUAUCCUAUCUAUCUCAGCUUCAUCAGUUAG